rfam:Yangia sp. CCB-MM3 chromosome 1, complete sequence.
UCCCUGUCACAACGGCUUCCUGGCGUGACAGCUGGUACCUAAUGGAGCG